GCCCGUGUAGCUCAGUUGGUUGAGCAUCGUCCCUUGCACCAAAAGGUCACAGGUUCAAUUCCUGAUCAGGGCA
rnacentral:tRNA from 1 species